GAGAGGUGCCGCCUGCCCAGUGAAAACUUUCAACGGCCGCGGUAUCCUAACCGUGCAAAGGUAGCAUAAUAACUUGUCUCUUAAAUAGAGACUGGCAUGAACGGCUAAAUGAGGACCCGACUGUCUCCUGGAGCCCCUCAGUGAACCUGAUCUUUCAGUACAAACGCUGAAAUACAACCACAAGACGAGAAGACCCUGCGGAGCUUUAAAAUCACCACUUUACCCCCAAGUGUCCUUUUUAAGUUGGGGCGACUACGGAAACAAAAAAAACUUCCAUGACCAGGGCUCACCCCCCAAGAAAGGCCUACACACCAACCACCCCCCCCCUUUUUUUUGACCCAGUAAAACUGAUUAACGAACCAAGUUACCCCAGGGAUAACAGCGCUAUCCUCUUAAAGAGCCCAUAUCGCCAAGAGGGUUUACGACCUCGAUGUUGGAUCAGGGCCCCCCAGUGGCGCAGCCGCUACUAACGGUUCGUUUGUUCAACGACUAACGCCCUACGUGAUCUGAGUUCAGACCGGA
rnacentral:rRNA from 1 species